rnacentral:tRNA from 1 species
GGAGAGAUGGCUGAGUGGACUAAA